CUAGUACACUAUUUGAAAAAGUAACCGUCAACCACCCCGCCCUUGCUCCGCCUCCGCCUGUCAGUUUUACUCGCUUCAAUUUCGGGUGGAAAAAGUAAACACGAACAUGGAAAGUGAUUCUUCACACAAAGAACAUUCGAAAGACACGACAAUAUCCAAAAGUGUUUGGAAACUGCGACGCUACGGUCGAUUUCUUCCGAAAGGAAAAGCAAAAUCCAAGUCCUCAGGUAGUAACUGCGCGUGGAAGAUUUUCGAGUCCAGUGAAAGCGCUGGCCAGCUGGAGUUGAAUAUUCUGGGCUCUGGUCAUCUGCUAGUAUCCCAAGGCCAAGAACUCUUGGAGGGUUUCUCUUUGCUCAAUGCACAGAGCUUCCUGAAGAUCCAGCACAAAUCAGACAGUCUGCUGUUCAACAUCACAAUAAAGGGUGAGAGCCGUUUGAUCAGACUGCAGUUUGGUGGCAGUAGUCAGGCUGAAGCGGUGGAUUUCUGCAGUAAAGCUCUGGAGAAGCUGCAGGAUUAUGUUCCUGUCCAGGAGCAUCUGACCACACCUGCUUCUGCUGCACCGUCUGAUCCUGAAGAACCCGGAACUUCUACACAGCAGCAGAAGGCUCCUGAAGAUGCACCACAGGCGGCCCCUGUCGUUGCCAUGGGACCGCUGUCAAUCAAACACCUUUCUCAGUACUUCCUGGGCGAGUGUGAGCUGUCCCUGCCGAUGGCGUAUCAGCAGUGCACGCUGCCCUCUGGAGACCUGGAGGCACUACUGCGCCUCUGUCUGCUCGAUGCUGGUUUUCCUGCAUUCGUAGAGGAAGUCGAGAAGAAGCUAAAGGAGCUAAUGCAAGAAUGAGGAUUCUUUUAAAAAAGGCUCCCAGGAGUAAAGGCGACCCUAAACAAAGCUCAUGGGUUGAGAAUGAUUCUGAUGACACAGCACGUCCAGAUCCGCAGCGGCCAAUAACAGAGCAGACACUUUUCCCUCCACUUUACUCAAGCACGUCAAUGAAAGAAACAUUUAAAUGGAAGCCACACCCGCCACCCGCCGUGAGCCAAUCAUCUGCAGAGGAGAGGUGCGGGACGACACACCCACCUUUGUUCCGAGCCAAUGGGAACGGAAAGGUCAGGAGGGGGAAAACUUGCCCCAGGAUCAAUUCGUCUCGCAUCAGUGAACCUUCUGCAAAUGUGUGGGAGGAAUUUGACCAGCUCUCCUCUGACUCUCAGGUGUUGUUAGUAUGGGAAGUCGACAACAAUGGCUUACGAGACUGAAGAAUGAACUGAGCAACAGUCCUCUGGUGUCCAACGUGGCCUUCGGCUUCAUCCUGAUGGGACUGGAGAAGUUGGUGGAGCUGGAGUUUGAGUGUCCGUGUAAUCCGGCCUGGAACGGGCUGUUUUCCUCCGCAUUCUUCAUCAUUCCCGCCGUCAUGGCCUUGGCGCUGAUGAUGAUCAUUCAGGGAUGCAGGUGUGACAUCUGGUGCAGGAGGACCGUGUCCCUGUCUGGUUUCGUUCCCGCCGUGGUCUGGUUGAUCCUGCUCUUCCUGGACGGUCAGUAUUUCGCCUGCGCGAUGACAGACUGGCACGGACGCUUCGUGAUCGUGGACAAAGCCGCUCCGCAGAAAUGGUGCGAGCCCACUCAAGAGGAGAGCGUCACUCCUCAGGAACUCAUGCUGCGCUCACAGCGACUGUUUGUGGAGUCUCAGGUGAUCGGCAUAGUGCUGCUCAUUUUUAUCUGUUUCGGACUGGUCGUGUAUGUGAUCAGAGAAAGCUGCCAGCAGGAGAUGGAAACUCAAGAUGCCAACGUGGCGGAGAUGACCCUCUACAGCUCCAGCUGAUAGCAGAAGAAAAACACUCGUGUCACAAGCCCUUCUGUAACCAUCUCUUUACGUUACAGUGUUCAUGUAAUAGCGCAGUGAGUAACACACAAGAACAUGUACUUACAGGGAUGAUUCAAAAUGAAGAUUCAGUCAUUUACUCACCCUCAAGUGUGCCAGACUUGUAUGACUUUCUUUCUUCUGUGGAGUAAAGGACACGUUCUGAAGACUGCUCGCUCUUUCACUGCAACUGAAUGAAUGAAUGAGGACUGAAGCUGCUGAAUGAUUCAUCCAUGAAUCACACUGAUCCGAUCGGGACGGGAAAACAGUCGGUGAACAAUUUCACAAACAAAACUUUACUCUACUUUUAUGGUGCCUUUUUAAAGUUUGAAAAAUUAAAUUGCAUGGAAAAGAGCAAAAACAUCACAAUUAUCCAGUAACACUUCACAUUAGUUAACAUGAACUAAUAAUGAACUGCACUUUUACAACAUUUAUUAAUCUUUGAUAAUGUUAAUUUAAACAUUUAUUAAUACAUUAUU